UUCUUCAUCAACACAUAAACUGUACUGCUGUUGCUGUAAUUCUCUUAAAGAACAAUGGCUGCUCUCUCAGUAGCCAACACUUCUCUUAAGGUUAACAACAAAGGAUUCUCUGAAUUCUCUGGUUUGAGAACCUCAUCAGCUGUUCCAUUUGGGAGGAAAACUAAUGAUGAUUUGUUCUCUGUUGCUGGCUUACAAACCUCUGCUAUUGGAGGAAGGAAGAACAAGAGGAUAGUAACUGAGGCAAAGUUGAAAGUGGCUAUCAAUGGAUUUGGAAGAAUUGGAAGGAACUUCUUGAGGUGUUGGCAUGGUAGAAAAGACUCACCUCUUGAUGUCAUUGCCAUCAAUGACACUGGUGGUGUCAAGCAAGCCUCUCACCUUCUCAAAUAUGACUCCACCCUUGGCAUCUUUGAUGCUGACGUCAAGCCGGUUGGCACUGAUGGCAUCUCUGUCGAUGGAAAAGUCAUCCAAGUCGUCUCCAACCGUGACCCUGUGAACCUCCCAUGGGGAGAACUUGGAGUUGACUUAGUCAUAGAAGGUACCGGAGUUUUUGUAGACAGAGAAGGUGCCGGUAAACACAUCCAGGCCGGAGCCAAGAAGGUGCUCAUCACCGCCCCCGGAAAAGGUGACAUCCCUACUUAUGUUGUUGGUGUCAAUGCUGAACUUUACAGCCAUGAUGAACCUAUCAUCAGCAAUGCCUCUUGUACCACCAACUGCCUUGCUCCUUUCGUCAAGGUUCUUGACCAGAAAUUUGGAAUUAUCAAGGGAACAAUGACAACUACUCACUCUUACACCGGUGACCAAAGGCUUCUUGAUGCAAGCCACAGGGAUCUUAGACGUGCACGAGCUGCAGCACUGAACAUAGUUCCAACCUCAACUGGUGCUGCUAAGGCUGUGGCUCUUGUUCUCCCAAGCCUCAAGGGGAAACUCAACGGCAUUGCCCUCCGUGUUCCCACCCCUAACGUCUCGGUUGUGGACCUUGUUGUGCAAGUCACCAAGAAGACAUUUGCUGAGGAAGUGAAUGCUGCAUUCAGAGAGGCCGCUGAUAAGGAACUCAAUGGCAUUCUAUCUGUCUGUGAUGAACCACUCGUGUCAGUUGACUUCCGGUGCAGUGACG
rnacentral:misc_RNA from 1 species